rnacentral:rRNA from 1 species
GACAGAGGUGGCGACCGUUGUUCGGAAUCACUGGGCUUAAAGCGCGUGUAGGCGGCGAAGAAAGUCGGGUGUGAAAUCCCUCGGCCUAACCGAGGAAUUGCGCCCGAAACUUCUUUGCUUGAGGACAGGAGGGGAGCCUGGAAUUCCUGGUGGAGCGGUGAAAUGCGUUGAUAUCAGGAGGAACACCGGCGGCGAAGGCGAGGCUCUGGCCUGUUUCUGACGCUGAGACGCGAAAGCUAGGGGAGCAAACGGG